rnacentral:rRNA from 1 species
UGCAGUCGACGGAAGUCGUUAUAAAAAGGAUUGAAGAUUUAUCUGAUUGAGAUUUUAUAACAAUGGCUUUAGUGGCGGACUGGUGAGUAACGCGUGAGCAACCUGCCUACUAGAGGGGAAUAACAGUGAGAAAUCAUUGCUAAUACCGCAUAUGCCAUGAACAUCACAUGAUGAAAAUGGGAAAAGAGUAAUCUGCUAGUAGAUGGGCUCGCGUCUGAUUAGAUAGUUGGUGGGGUAACGGCCUACCAAGUCGACGAUCAGUAGCCGGACUGAGAGGUUGAACGGCCACAUUGGGACUGAGAUACGGCCCAGACUCCUACGGGAGGCAGCAGUCGGGAAUAUUGCGCAAUGGAGGAAACUCUGACGCAGUGACGCCGCGUAUAGGAAGAAGGUUUUCGGAUUGUAAACUAUUGUCGUUAGGGAAGAUACAAGACAGUACCUAAGGAGGAAGCUCCGGCUAACUACGUGCCAGCAGCCGCGGUAAUACGUAGGGAGCAAGCGUUAUCCGGAUUUAUUGGGUGUAAAGGGUGCGUAGACGGGACAACAAGUUAGUUGUGAAAUCCCUCGGCUUAACUGAGGAACUGCAACUAAAACUAUUGUUCUUGAGUGUUGGAGAGGAAAGUGGAAUUCCUAGUGUAGCGGUGAAAUGCGUAGAUAUU